GUGGGGAAUAUUGGACAAUGGGCGCAAGCCUGAUCCAGCAAUGCCGCGUGGGUGAAGAAGGCCUUCGGGUUGUAAACCGCUUUUGUCAGGGAAGAAAUCCUUUGGGUUAAUACCUCGGAGGGAUGACGGUACCUGAAGAAUAAGCACCGGCUAACUACGUGCCAGCAGCCGCGGUAAUACGUAGGGUGCGAGCGUUAAUCGGAAUUACUGGGCGUAAAGCGUGCGCAGGCGGUUUUGUAAGACAGGCGUGAAAUCCCCGGGCUCAACCUGGGAAUUGCGCUUGUGACUGCAAGGCUGGAGUGCGGCAGAGGGGGAUGGAAUUCCGCGUGUAGCAGUGAAAUGCGUAGAUAUGCGGAGGAACACCGAUGGCGAAGGCAAUCCCCUGGGCCUGCACUGACGCUCAUGCACGAAAGCGUGGGGAGCAAACAGGAUUAGAAACCCUGGUAGUCC
rnacentral:rRNA from 1 species